GAAAUGCGAUAAGUAGUGUGAAUUGCAGAAUUCAGUGAAUCAUCGAAUCUUUGAACGCACAUUGCGCCCUUUGGUAUUCCUUAGGGCAUGCCUGUUCGAGCGUCAUUUACAAAUUCAAGCUCAGCUUGGUGAUGGGCGCCUGUCCCGCCUUUGCGUGUGGACUCGUCUCAAAUGCAGUUGGCAGCUUAUCCCUCGGCUCUAAACGCAGCAGAUUUGCGUCGAGCGUCGAGCGGACGGGCUCUCCGGUAAGCAAACCCCCUAAAAUUGACCUCGGAUCAGGUAGGGAUACCCGCUGAACUCAAGC
rnacentral:misc_RNA from 1 species